rnacentral:tRNA from 1 species
GCCUGGAUAGCUCAGUUGGUUAGAACAUGGUGCUGAUCACACCAAGGUUGCAGGUUCGAUCCCUGCACGGGGCA